CAGUGAUAAACUGGAGGAAGGUGGGGAUGACGUCAAGUCAUCAUGGCCCUUACGAGUAGGGCUACACACGUGCUACAAUGGCAUAUACAAAGAGAAGCGACCUCGCGAGAGCAAGCGGACCUCAUAAAGUAUGUCGUAGUCCGGAUUGGAGUCUGCAACUCGACUCCAUGAAGUCGGAAUCGCUAGUAAUCGUGGAUCAGAAUGCCACGGUGAAUACGUUCCCGGGCCUUGUACACACCGCCCGUCACACCAUGGGAGUGGGUUGCAAAAGAAGUAGGUAGCUUAACCUUCGGGAGGGCGCUUACCACUUUGUGAUUCAUGACUGGGGUGAAGUCGUAACAAGGUAACCGUAGGGGAACCUGCGGUUGGAUCACCUC
rnacentral:rRNA from 1 species